rnacentral:rRNA from 1 species
AGAGUUUGAUCCUGGCUCAGGAUGAACGCUGGCGGCGUGCUUAACACAUGCAAGUCGAACGAUGAUCCCAGCUUGCUGGGGGAUUAGUGGCGAACGGGUGAGUAACACGUGAGUAACCUGCCCUUAACUCUGGGAUAAGCCUGGGAAACUGGGUCUAAUACCGGAUAUGACUCCUCAUCGCAUGGUGGGGGGUGGAAAGCUUUAUUGUGGUUUUGGAUGGACUCGCGACCUAUCAGCUUGUUGGUGAGGUAAUGGCUCACCAAGGCGACGACGGGUAGCCGGCCUGAGAGGGUGACCGGCCACACUGGGACUGAGACACGGCCCAGACUCCUACGGGAGGCAGCAGUGGGGAAUAUUGCACAAUGGGCGAAAGCCUGAUGCAGCGACGCCGCGUGAGGGAUGACGGCCUUCGGGUUGUAAACCUCUUUCAGUAGGGAAGAAGCGAAAGUGACGGUACCUGCAGAAGAAGCGCCGGCUAACUACGUGCCAGCAGCCGCGGUAAUACGUAGGGCGCAAGCGUUAUCCGGAAUUAUUGGGCGUAAAGAGCUCGUAGGCGGUUUGUCGCGUCUGCCGUGAAAGUCCGGGGCUCAACUCCGGAUCUGCGGUGGGUACGGGCAGACUAGAGUGAUGUAGGGGAGACUGGAAUUCCUGGUGUAGCGGUGAAAUGCGCAGAUAUCAGGAGGAACACCGAUGGCGAAGGCAGGUCUCUGGGCAUUAACUGACGCUGAGGAGCGAAAGCAUGGGGAGCGAACAGGAUUAGAUACCCUGGUAGUCCAUGCCGUAAACGUUGGGCACUAGGU